ACUAAAAUAGCUUAAGGAAAGCGUAAUAACUGUUAAUUAUUCUAAUUGGUUCGAUUCCAAAUUUUAGUG
rnacentral:tRNA from 1 species